AACGAACGCUAGCGGCAGGCCUAAUACAUGCAAGUCGGACGGGAUUUGGGAGCUUGCUCCUAAUGAGAGUGGCGCACGGGUGCGUAACACGUAUGUAACCUACCUUAAUCAGGGGGAUAGCCUCUCGAAAGAGAGAUUAACACCACAUAAUAUAUUUUUAUGGCAUCGUAGAAAUAUCAAAUAUUUAUAGGAUUAAGAUGGGCAUGCGGAACAUUAGCUAGUUGGUAAGGUAACGGCUUACCAAGGCUACGAUGUUUAGGGGAUCUGAGAGGAUGAACCCCCACACUGGUACUGAGACACGGACCAGACUCCUACGGGAGGCAGCAGUAAGGAAUAUUGGUAAAUGGGCGCAAGCCUGAACCAGCCAUGCCGCGUGCAGGAAGACGGCCCUAUGGGUUGUAAACUGCUUUUGUACCGGAAUAAACCCUUUUACGUGUAAGAGGCUGAAUGUACGGUAAGAAUAAGGAUCGGCUAACUCCGUGCCAGCCGCCGCCGUAA
rnacentral:rRNA from 1 species